AAACGAUGCCGAUGUCGUGGUGCCGAAUAAUGGCGACGCGAAAGAGAAAUCGAGUAGGGCCCUGGGGAGAGUACACGCGCAAGCGAGAAAUUUAAAGGAAAUUGACGGAAGAACACCACAAGGAGUGGAGUGUGCGGCUUAAUUUGACUCAACGCGGGACAACUUACCGGGCCCGACGACCGUAUGAGUGUAACACACGAUAGGUCGAAGAGUGGUGCAUGGCCGUUAACGACGAGUGGAGUGAUCUUUGAGUUAAGUCCGUAAAUUAGUGAGACCUCAGCCGUAAGGGACAGGUGCGCAAAGCACAGGAAGGAUGGGUCGAGGACAGGUCAGUGAUGCCCUUAGAUGGUCCGGGCUGCACGCGCACUACAGUGGUCGCCGAAAUUACCUGAUAAUUUUAAAGGCGAUCGAGAGGAAAUGAGCUUUGUAAGAGGCUCAGGAACGAGGAAUUGCUAGUAAUCGCGGACUCAUUAAGACGCGAUGAAUACGUCCCUGUUCUUUGUACACACCGCCCGUCGUUAUCGAAGACGAAGAUAGGCGCGAACGAUCUACCAGAAAGUGAGCGCAGGUCUUUAGAUCUGAUACAAGUCGUAACAAGGUAGCUGUAGGAGAACCUGUAGCUGG
rnacentral:rRNA from 1 species